CCCCAAUGUUGCAACCUCUUUCAUUGAGACACUUGAAGCCAAUGAGCUUCUCAUGGUCUUGGUAGGUCAGAUGUAUUACAGUGGUUAUGGUGUUCCCAAAGAUGACCAGAAGAGCAGAGAACAGGCCACUGAACGUGCCCUUGAUUGCACCUUUUACCAUUGCAUCAUCAAGAUUAGAGAUGGUAGAGAACAUG